rnacentral:rRNA from 1 species
AGUGAACGCUGGCGGUAGGCCUAACACAUGCAAGUCGAACGGCAGCACAGUAAGAGCUUGCUCUUACGGGUGGCGAGUGGCGGACGGGUGAGGAAUACAUCGGAAUCUACUUUUUCGUGGGGGAUAACGUAGGGAAACUUACGCUAAUACCGCAUACGACCUACGGGUGAAAGCAGGGGAUCUUCGGACCUUGCGCGAUUGAAUGAGCCGAUGUCGGAUUAGCUAGUUGGCGGGGUAAAGGCCCACCAAGGCAACGAUCCGUAGCUGGUCUGAGAGGAUGAUCAGCCACACUGGAACUGAGACACGGUCCAGACUCCUACGGGAGGCAGCAGUGGGGAAUAUUGGACAAUGGGCGCAAGCCUGAUCCAGCCAUACUGCGUGGGUGAAGAAGGCCUUCGGGUUGUAAAGCCCUUUUGUUGGGAAAGAAAAGCAGCAGGUUAAUACCCCGCUGUUCUGACGGUACCCAAAGAAUAAGCACCGGCUAACUUCGUG